rnacentral:rRNA from 1 species
UACAACAUAGAAUUAAUGCACCAAAUCCCAUUAGAACUUCGCAGUUAAGCGUGCUCAAGCUACAGUUGUAUUGGGAUGGGUGACCUCUCGGGAAUUCCUAGUGUUUUAC